rnacentral:rRNA from 1 species
CAUUCACGGAGAGUUUGAUCCUGGCUCAGGACGAACGCUGGCGGCGUGCUUAACACAUGCAAGUCGAACGAUGAAGCCCUUCGGGGUGG